UGGUCAUGUUCGCGGAUAUUAAUUCAUGCUACUCGGAUUCUCUCUACCUUCAUUGACGUAAAGUGAGUCAGAGGAGCGUAAAGUGACUUCAGUGGACAACCAUUCACCUCGAAUUUCAUUCAGAUUAGUUUUCGCAUUUAGUUCGUAAUGGAACAAAGUCGAGGACCUCUUAGGAUCGUAAAGCAUCCUUAAGAUCCGUGAAAGGAUAUUAACUCCCACGGUUUAAAGUCGCCCAGUCAACGACUAAACCACCGCUCCCACAUCCUUCGUGUCGAGAUUGGAAAGAAGGAAUGAGGUUGCAAAGAUCACGGUCAGGACGACAAAGGACGACAAAGGACGUAUGCUAAAGAGAAAUUGUUGUAACGGAUCGUAUUAUACGAACCAAUCUACGUUUCCGCAAGUAGAAAAAGACGGAGAUGAAGAAGAUCGAGGUCGUGGUCAGAUGUUUAGCAAAAAAAUGUAACUGCGGAUAACUUUACCGAGCGGCAGACACCGUUCCCUGGAGAAAGGAAUAAAGAAACGAUUGAAGUGCGAGCUACCGUUAAAUAAAACUUUCAGCAAGGUCGGACUCAACUAAGAGAACGUUUUCAUCGUUGGUUCGUCAACCUGCUGUACCUGGAUACUACACACCACCAGUCUCUCAAUUCCAACACUUUCAAAUUCGUUUUCUCCGCUUGGUCGCGCUAGAAUGUUUUCUUGGUUCCUGCAAAAUAAUUAGGGGAAACCGUUGCUCCUUUUAUCAGAAUAAGUAUCCCAAGAGAAUAUCCAGAAAAUUCUCUUCCUUUUAAUAUCAUCUUUUAUACAAUUUUUUUUUUUUUUAUCUUUUCCAAUUUUCAUUCGAAAAAUAAUAA